GGUACUUGGAGAGAGGCUGGCCGUGAUGAAUUCGAUUCAUCAAAGCGAGUCAUACACGGCUCUCCUCUCUUUUGGUGUC
rnacentral:pre_miRNA from 1 species